rnacentral:lncRNA from 1 species
GGAGGCCGGCAGGAAGGGCCUCGAGCCCAGUGCGGACCUUUCUUCAGCCUCUGUGCGACCGAGCCGCGCGCCAGGCUCCUGUGCGAGGAGGACGCGCUGACUCCCUCCGACCUGGGCUCCGAUGGAGCAGAAAUAGCGGGACCUGGACUUGUGGCGCGCCUGGUGCCACAUCUCGGGCUCUGCGAGCGUCCUGGCGCGGGAUCCUGCCUAAUGUCUUACAAUAACAGAAUGCAGGAGAGCACAUAUCAAUGAAGAAAAGACAAAAUGUACUUAUCCAUGAAGCUGAGGUUAAGAAACCAGUGUCUUCAAGAGCCAGGGACAGCACUGGGUCUGUGCAGAGUUGAGAGAUGGUGAUGACAUGUGGUUUCCAGCAUUCCUCACCCAGUCCAGGGACACUGUGGGUGUGCCCAGCUUAAGUCCAGUAACUGGAAAUACAAGCCCAAGUUCUGGAGAGUUUGAGCUGCAG